rnacentral:misc_RNA from 1 species
GUCUUCACGCUCAUGUCCGGUUGCGAUUGGCAUUACAUCUUCAACCUUCUUCUUCAGACCGGUAUCAGCAGAAUCAGAGGCGUAAUGGCGAGCGAAAAGCGAGACAGCCGGGGAAGGAGAAACAUGAGAAGCAGCACCGAAUCGAGUGGCUUUGGAGAUGCAUCCCAACGGAGCGGAUGCAGGCGUCGAUGAUGAGGGAAGAGAUUUCAAGGAUUUGAGCGGCGAAAAGAGCAAUCUUCUCCACAUCGUAGAUUGAAAUCGGUGAAUUCUCCGGCUAUGAUCUCAGGUCGCACCCCCUUGGACGGCGAAUUUGGCUCUCUUUUUCUUCACUCU